AUUUUUUUAACAUUUCACUUCACCAGUUUGGCCAUUACAUGAAAUCCAAAUAAAAAUUUAAUUACAGGUUGUAAUGCAACAAAAUACGAAAAACACCAAGGGGGAUGAAUACUUUUGCAAGGCACUGUAUUGCUUUUAUAAACCGGUUGCCAACACAGUAAGGCAAGGAACUACACAUCUAAAUUGAAAAUGUAGCUUUAAUCAAUACAUUGACAAUGAAUACAUUCCACCAGAAAAAGUAGUCCGGUAAAAGUCUUGUUGCUUGACUAGUUGCUAUGCAACAUAACCACAGGCUAGCUAGCAAGCAUUAGCGCCACUUCUAGAGUGACUAACACAUGCCACCUAUUUAUUAAUGUUGAAUGUUGCCAUUUCUUAAAAUUGUCCCACGUUAUUGUUUGUUGUUGGUUUGCUCAUGGUGUCGUUUAUUGGGCUCUACGCUGCUGGAAAUGGAUUCCGUUUUUUUUUUGCUGGGGAGCUGCUGCUGUGUUGUCAGAGAGAAUAGUGCUCCACCGCUUCCAGAUUUGGUCUCCAGGAACUUUGAAGACAGGUUUCCAAUCUGUGUCCUCUGAAAGACAGUAUUUAUCGUGCCACUAGUCAAGCAUCCGACCGUUUCUGGAUCAUGGUGGUUCGAGGCAGUAGUUUGUGUAAAUCUGCGACAGGACAGCUAUUUUGCAGAUCAUUGGCAGCAUUGCUGCAAGGGUGUUCACUCCCAUUGUCUCUUUUAUGUACCUAAAACAUUUAAGACAAAAUAACGUUAGCUAAUAGUUAGGCCUACAUAGCUUCCAGUUAUAUUGUCAGGGUACAUUAGAAUGAUUUUGCUAGCUAGCUAACAGUUACAUACCAUAUGUACAGUAUCCAUUCACUGGUGGGCAGCUUUGUUGUGUCCCUCUUUACUCAACUUUUUAAUUACGCCGACAGACACAUUGUUGCUCGUUGUGAAUUCGGUGUCCUUCUGAAUACUCCAUGACAAACUGAGAGGGGGGUCGUUGAUAUGUCUAGCGUAGCUGCUAAUUCCAUAUUAUUCGCAGUGGUGGAAAAAGUACCCAAUUGUCAUACUUGAGUAAAAGUAAAGAUACAGUAAUAGAAAAUUACUCAAGUAAAAGUCUUGAUAAGUGUGUGAAUUAUUUAACCAUUUUUUGUCCUGCUAAGCCUUCAAAAUGUAACGAGUACUUUUGGGUGUCAGGGAAAAUGUAUCGAGUAAAAUGUACAUAAUUUUCUUUAGGAAUGUAGUGAAGUGAAAGUAAAAGUUGUCAAAAAUAUGAAUAGUAAAGUACAGAUACCCCCCAAAACGAAUGAAGUAGUACUUUAAAUUAUUUUUACUUAAGUACUUUACACCACUUAUUCUUCACCAUUCAUGUUUCUCACUGAACCAUGAAAGUGCCGUAGAAUGAUGUUCAGCUCCAUUUUUGUUGUAUUCCUAGACUCACAUAUCCCUUGUUCUGCCCACCAGUCAGUGAAGUAGUUCUUUAACCAGGUCAGGGUGUUCAGUGUCCUGUAACACCUUCAAGAAGAUGGAGAACUCCUGAGAAGUUCCUGAGUCCCACAUAUAUUUAUUCUGUUUUUGAUAUUCAGCUAAUAUAUCUAGAACAGAAAUUGAAUUGUUAAAUUACAGGC
ensembl:lncRNA